rnacentral:rRNA from 1 species
GAUGAACGCUGGCGGCGUGCCUAAUACAUGCAAGUCGAGCGAACAGACGAGGAGCUUGCUCCUCUGACGUUAGCGGCGGACGGGGGAGUAACACGUGGAUAACCUACCUAUAAGACUGGGAUAACUUCGGGAAACCGGAUCUAAUAUCGGAUAAUAUAUUGAACCGCAUGGUUCAAAAGUGAAAGACGGUUUUGCUGUCACUUAUAGAUGUAACCGCGCCGCAUUAGCUAGUUGGUAAGGUAACGGCUUACCAAGGCAACGAUGCGUAGCCGACCUGAGAGGGUGAUCAGCCACACUGGAACUGAGACACGGUCCAGACUCCUACGGGAGGCAGCAGUAGGGAAUCUUCCGCAAUGGGCGAAAGCCUGACGGAGCAACGCCGCGUGAGUGAUGAAGGUCUUCGGAUCGUAAAACUCUGUUAUUAGGGAAGAACAAAUGUGUAAGUAACUAUGCACGUCUUGACGGUACCUAAUCAGAAAGCCACGGCUAACUACGUG